GGGCAGGAAGACAGGUGGUGCAUGGUUGUCGUCAGCUCGUGUCGUGAGAUGUUGGGUUAAGUCCCGCAACGAGCGCAACCCUUAUCAUUAGUUGCUACCAUUAAGUUGAGCACUCUAGUGAGACUGCCCGGGUUAACCGGGAGGAAGGUGGGGAUGACGUCAAAUCAUCAUGCCCCUUAUGUCUAGGGCUACACACGUGCUACAAUGGUAGGUACAACAAGACGCAAGACCGCGAGGUGGAGCAAAACUGUAAAACCUAUCCCAGUUCGGAUUGUAGGCUGAAACUCGCCUACAUGAAGCCGGAGUUGCUAGUAAUCGCGAAUCAGCAUGUCGCGGUGAAUACGUUCCCGGGCCUUGUACACACCGCCCGUCACACCAUGAGAGUUGGCAAUACCCAAAGUUCGUGUGGUAACCGUAAGGAGCCAGCGGCCUAAGGUAGGGUCAGCGAUUGGGGUGAAGUCGUAACAAGGUAACC
rnacentral:rRNA from 1 species